GAGUUUGAUCUUGGCUCAGAUUGAACGCUGGCGGCAUGCCUUACACAUGCAAGUCGAACGGCAGCACAGGAGCUUGCUCCUGGUGGCGAGUGGCGAACGGGUGAGUAAUGCAUCGGAACGUAUCCUGGAGUGGGGGAUAACGUAGCGAAAGUUACGCUAAUACCGCAUAUUCUGUGAGCAGGAAAGCGGGGGACCUUCGGGCCUCGCGCUCUUGGAGCGGCCGAUGUCGGAUUAGCUAGUUGGUGAGGUAAAGGCUCACCAAGGCGACGAUCCGUAGCAGGUCUGAGAGGAUGACCUGCCACACUGGAACUGAGACACGGUCCAGACUCCUACGGGAGGCAGCAGGUGGGGUAAGUUUUGGACAAGUGGGGGGCAACCCUGAUCCAGCCAUGCCGCGUGAGUGAAGAAGGCC
rnacentral:rRNA from 1 species